rnacentral:tRNA from 1 species
AGUCGCAUAGUUUAACUGGUGAGAACAGCUUCCCUGUGGGGCGAGUGUCGGUUCGAAUCCGGCUGCGACGC